rnacentral:lncRNA from 1 species
AGUGCCCCGCCCAGCAUACAGUAUAAAUACAGUGCUCAGCCUUGCCAUCUCCCACAGAGCGUGCCAGACCAGAAACAACUCCGCUCCAGAGAGAGUAAAGACGCAAAGAUGAAGGUGUCAUAUGUGGCCGCUUUCCUCAUCGGGCUCCUCUCCCUGGAGAGCACCAGAGCGGCUCCGUUGUUGUGGUCUGUGGGCUCUGGUAGCGUAAAGACCGGUGACGUGGGCCACGGCAGCUUUAACGACAACAGCAAAAACAACAAAUUCUGGUCAGUGGGCUCUGGUAGCGUAAAGACUGGUGACGUGGGCCACGGCAGCUUUAACGACAACAGCAAAAACAACCAAUUCUGGUCAGUGGACUCUGGUAGCGUAAACACCGGUAACGUGGGCCACGGCAGCUUUAACGACAACAGUAUAAACAACAAAUUCUUGCCAGUGAAAAACAACAAAUUCUGGUCAGUGGGCUCUGGUAGCGUAAACACUGGAGACGUGGGCCACGGCAGCUUUAACGACAACAGUAUAAACAACAAAAUCUUGCCAGUGAAAAAGAACAAAUUCUGGUCAGUGGGCUCUGGGAGCGUAAACACCGGUGACGUGGGCCACGGCAGCUUUAACGACAACAGCAAAAACAACAAAUUCUGGUCAGUGGACUCUGGUAGCGUAAACACCGGUGACGUAGGCCAUGGCAGCUUUAACGACAACAGCAAAAACAACAAAUUAUGCUUAGUGGGCUCCGGAAGCAAAAAGACCGGCAAAGUGGUCGACAGCAGCUUUGACAACAAAAGCGUAAGUAGUAGAGAUUAUCUCUCCAUGCUAUGUAGCUUCACACACAUCUGUGAACAGACCGUGUUUCAGCUAGUUUGAUGUCUCGUAACCUUUGCCUGCGAGGAACACUGGCUGCAUUUGCCCAUGUUGUAAAUGCAGCAUGGAGAGUCCUCCCACUCCACAGGCUCCUCCCCACAGCUCCCAUUGAACGGUUUCCAGACAAUGGGAGUGCCGAUCUGUUGCUUAUAGUGGGGGCAUAGCUUCAUGGCCCCUCUUCCUAGAAGCUGGACCUGCUGCUGGCUGCUUCCGGGGCGCAACGCGGUGUCAGAAC